CGGUGGCCCCCACGGCGCCAGCGACGAGUAGAGCGCCGGUCACCGGUGACCCCCGUAGCAUUCGACGUGCUAAAGAAUGAAAGCCGCUGAAGAGUAAAACUAAAGUGGAAGAAGGAAAGAAAGCCGAAAAACCGAAAUCGAUCCAGCUGUAAGAGAAUUAAACAGUGGAGAGUGGCGCAGAGCGGGGUCACGCGCUCGAUUCUAAUUGUACCUUUUAGCUGUAGGGCUCUUAGCUGUUCUCCUUGGAAAGAACAAUAACACUUGCGCGCCGGUGUACGUCCCUGAACAUGGUGGGGCGGCAACAAACACGGAGCACGAAACGGAGCAAAAGGUGGGGUGGCUUAACGGCGGCGGCGGCGGCGGCGGUGGCGACAAAGGAAGAUGUGCAGGUGGUACACACAGAGCACGGCGCCAGCAUCGCCCUCGCGAAAAUCAUGAAUGAAAACGGGCGAGCAGCCAGCACUACUGCGUGCUAUCAUGCAGCCACCGCGUAUGGAUCUCCUCUCGUCUCUCCCUUUCGAAUGCAUUGGCCGGCCAACAGCUCUCUCGCGUUCUCUUUAGUCUUUAGCAAGCGUGGCGGUAGCGGCAGCAGUGCCGCUGCCUUUUGUUCGCGUCGCGCUGAGAAAAGGCGAUCCGCUCUUACCAACACGCCCUUCUUCGUCGCCGCCUAACUGUCGCGCGCAAGCAAGGGCAGCAUUAGUUUGCACAAUAUCGUGUGAACGACAUCCCCCCGUUUUAAGAGGUUUAUUUAGGCACCUGUAUCUCAUCGGCGUCGCAUGCCCCGGCUAAACUACCCGAAUCGUUAGCACGCUUAUUAGCGACAACUUCUGGCCUGCCUUGGGAUAUUCGGGCUACCGUGUUUCUGUACGGAUGUAUAGCUACAAUUGUAGGAAAUAAAUCAUAGAGAAUAUCGAGGAGGUUAUACCGAGGAUGUAAGGUAAAGACAUAAGAAAAUGUGGAAAAUUUUGUAAGUUUGAGAAAGACGAUCUGUGAAUGGCUCGUACGGAGAGUUACGUUGUUGCUGAUGAAAUACUCUCGACACAGUUACAUUCAUAUUAACGCUUUGGCGUAUAAAUUUAUUAGUAAGUUUAACCAGUAGCCGGUGAUUUUUCCUAAAAAUUUCAUGUUCUUGAACUUUACGUAAAUGAACGGUUUGCGCGUGACACCAAUAUUAACGUUUAGCUUGCGAACUUGAGGACACGUUCAUGCCAACGGAGAGUGUUAACGAAGAUAUCUUCAGUUUGGAGAAAAUACGGAAGAAAAAAUUACAGAUUUUACAGUUACAGUAAUUUUGAUGUUCGUACGGAUCUAAAUUAUUCGUCAACAUCAGGUUGUCCGUUCUUCCAAUGCAGCUUCUUCGAAAGCUAUAUUAAUAUCACAAGCGAUGUGUCCAAGUUUAAACUCACAUCAACCUGCAGAUUUAAACAAGAAGUUAUCACCAAUUACGAAUGCCUUCUUUUGGACAAGAGAUUAAUAGGUAAAUUGUCAGGUGCGCUAUGCUUCAUACAACAGAUUCAGUUGGUUUAACAGUUUAACAUACGAUUAUCAUACAUAACGUCUUAAAAAAAUUCAACGUUAUAUUCCCCAGCUUCUUUUUAUGUUAUCUAUACUGAGCUUGGACUAAUUAUAGGUAAUUAAAAUGUAUACUAUGAUAUAUGUGGUAUAAGGUGCAUAAGUUAUAUAACUCGUCGUAAGUUGAUUAGUAUACAUUAAACGCUCGUUCGUCGAGAUAAAAAAAUAGACAUGAUAAUUCUGUGCCUAUCGGAUUAUCCUCUUUUUCCCCCGAGUAUUUUAUUUUUUUAUUCUAUGUGUAUUUUAUUUUUCUUCCGUUUAAACAAUUCCUCAUACCUGCCGUUACGUCCGAGUACGCGUUUUUAUUUUUAUUUUAACCCGUCGUUGGCCGUUGUUUCGAACGUUCGUUGAAACAACAUAUUCGAGACAAUGUUUCAGUAUUUAUUACGUAUUUAUUUAGCCUCUGAAAAUAUGCUACUCAGCGACCUUCUUUUUUUCUUCAGGUUUUAUUAUGUAGGUGGAACAGUCUUCGAGAUUAUGAUAUUUGUAUGGGCAGACUUUUCUACACGUUGUUAUGGCGCGUGUGUUUCUUUCGUGUAUCAACUUACUUCUACGAAUAGAUCGUUAUAAUUACGAAGUACGCAGAAAUUGUUCGUGGGCUAAUAUUGCUCAAUGGCGUACUAUUCUAAUGAAUAGAUCAUUAGUCACAGAUACGUAUAACACGAGACACUAACAAUUGUUGUUUGAUACAGUCGGUACGAGCGAGCUGCAAGCUCUUCCUUCUUCUUCCAAUUCGUCAAAAUUCCAGUCGCUUGAAUUCAUCGAUCGAAUUUAACGAAAAAAUGAUAUGAAAACACGGACCUAUGUAUAUGUAUAUAAGUAUACGCGUACGUGAAACGCAAGCGAGUAAAAAAAAAAGAGUUUAAAUCGUAAGAGAGCGAGAGGAAGAUGUACGUGUCUCUGAAAUGUUGAAAACGGUGUGAAACAGCGAGAAGCUAAAAAAUGUCCAAUUUGCAAGUUGUAUGCGUAUCGAUGGAUAUUAAAUAACUUUUGCGAUUCUUGAAAGUGAAAAUUAGCGUAUUAAAGUUACUCUAACGGGUGCGGGAAUAAUUAACACGACUAUGUUCGAACGAUUUUCUAUGAACCAUGCUGGGAGAAUAACAAUUUUGAUUUUCAGCGGUGAACAGCUUUUUAAUCGAAUUAAAUUAGUCAGAAAUUUACAAAACACGCGCCUGAACAAAUAUACUUCGUUGCGAUCGUUUUGGAUUGUAGCGCGAAAGAGGAAGAUAAGAUGCAUAAAACGCUUCGAAAGCACACGACCUGCGUAUAACGCUAGCCAUUUUCAACUCUAAUUGAAAUUCUCUGUAAAUGAACAACAACCGAUAAAUUUCUCAAUUUUAAUUCCGCUCGAGAAAAUUAUCGAUUUACCGUAACACGAGUACGAAACCGUCAACGAUAUCUUACGAACGAGUCGUUUCGUUAACCGGAAACAAGCCCGCCAGCCAAAAUAUAGGAAAACACUGGAAAGGAAAAUUCUGGCUGAUAAAAUUUCAUGCGAUAAAGAAUGACGCAAUAGGCAUGUUAAGUAUAGAUACAUCUGUGUGGUCUAAAAAUACCAAUUAGCGUUCGAUGGAACGUCGAGCGGAUGUACGCUCGUGACGAGAGGACAAGGGUGACAUGAGAACGCUCCAAGGAAAUUCCAUUCGAAAUUUCCAGCGCGCGAUCUAUGAAAUAUCCGAGCGGUGGGGGCCGAGAGGCAGGCUGAACGUUUUCGAAACAAUUUUUAUCGCGCUCUCGGAAGGCUGAGUGGGAGGAAGAAGAAGCUGGUUCCUCGAUGUACAUAUGUGCGUUGACUUUAUGGCCGAUGAAUGUGGAAGAAUUGCGAUUGGCGAAGCCGAUGGCACAGAGUAGCGCGGUAAAUUGCUAUGAAAGACAGGGCUGCGCGAGCCUCGAGCCUGGUUUAAAAAUAAAGGACACAUCAUGGAAGGACAAGAGGAAGGAAGACAGAGAGAAUGCAUCGAAUGCACGAAAGGAGACGACACGGAAACGGGCAGACGUGGAAAGGCUGGCGGUUGAAUGAAGAAGGGACAGGCAGGGGAGCAGAGGGAGCAGCAAGGAGAGGCGAAGCUAAGGAAGAAACAGGAAGCCGAGCAGGAGAAUGGCGGACAGACGGAGGAAGAGCGUGCAAGGGUGGUGCGAAACGUAGUACGAUAACCGUAUAUAUACGACGCUCCGCCAGUCUCAUCGACCUAAAACCGAGGCGAACUCGGCGAGAGUGGCGGCGAGGCCGCGAUGGAGACGCCGGCAGUGGUGUAACUCGCUGUGCAAUCGGGGCUGCGAACGAUAUCGAAUGAGCAAGCGAGACAUCGGCCGAGAUACGUGUGCGAAAAAGAAGAAAAGAAGAAGAGGGAGAAAAAGGAAGAGAGCGAGCAGCCAGCCGAGCAAACAAGUUAAUGAAUGAACGAACGGAAUGGUGGGCGGGGCACGGCCACGUUCUUCCGUUGUACUUUCCGCGCCGCUGUCACCCAACACUCGCCUCGUUCUUAUCGAGUCUACGAAGAGACGAUUCUGUGGGAAAACCGAGGAAAACCGGUGUACGGCCGCCUCAGGAACCCGUCGACCACGCGUGUGCGUGCACGUUCGCACCUAGCCCCCGGAUCAACGUGUGUGCUACAUCGCUGCUAUUGAUUUUGUUCGGAUACCCGCGUACCCCUGCUGCAACUCCGCCACGGAACCGACCAAUGAUACCUUAAUAAUUAACCGAUUAUGCAAUCUCGGCUUUGGAAUAUCGCAGCAAAUUGCUUCGUUGAUGUCUUUUUGGGCGAGACGAAGCGGUCGUGUGGUCGUCCGAAGCAGCUGCUACUCCCUUCGUGUCUCUAAAACGGUUUAAUUUUUACAAGAUGGCUCGACCUUCGAUUCUCAACGACUGGCUCGUCGAGAGAAAAUUUUCAAAGGUACCUUGCAUUGCAAAUACACCGUCGUUGCGUUGUAUCGUUACGAGCGAUACGUUUGAUGGAAAAUGGUAGGUUCAUGUUUGGAUAAUUAGCUUCCCUACCGUUAGAUUGGUACGGAAGGUGUUAUUGGUUUCGCUCCACUUUUAUUAAUAGCUGUAUUAAUGGUCGUUUGCUAUGUAUAUUCCGCUGUUAUGAUUAUUGCGCAUUUGAAAAGUUGAGUAAUAUGUUGUAAAAAAGCGAAUAUACAAGCAUUUUAUUACUUUUCUCACGAAGUAUCUUUUUAGGACACACUGUGCUGUAUUCUGUAUUUUAUACACGCGAAGAAGUAUCAUUUGAGCUGCCGGAAGCCACGUCGUCGAUCAAGUCCAUAGUUUGUAAAAAUUGAAAGCGUAGAGGAUAUAACGAAUAUAGAAGAAAUUGACGACUCUGGAUAUUACUUUAGAAAAUUUUCCUUGAAAUUUGUUAUCGUUUGCGCUAUCUGCUUGUAACGAGGAAAAUAGAAAUAAGUCGUUUGUGUUUCGAGACGCUGGGUAGCAAUUACGUACGCAAGCGACGAAAUUGAAAAAUCCACAAAGAGCGGAGCUGAUCGGUUCGAUCUCUGAGACACUCGCCCGCCUGUCGUAUUGGCAAAAAUCGAUAUAUGGAUUGUAGAAAAAUAGAACAUGAAACGUGAUAUUUAGAUAUAAAAAUAAGCAAUUAAAGAUAAAUUGAUAAAUUGGAAAUUAGGUCCCAAUUGAGGUAUCCAAUUUCCUCGACAAAUACGAACGUAUAUCUGUUUCGCAUUUUCGUGGAAAAUAAAACUCUGCGAAAGUCAGCGAGAAUUUUACGUACGCGCUCGAGCAGAAACAUAUUAAAUAUAAUACACCUGCAUGAACGCGAUCAGGAUUUUAAUUAGGUGAACAAUUCACCCGUAUCGUAGAAACGUAUCCGGCUUGCCGAAUUUCUACGGUCGUAACCUCCGCCGAUUAGAACACACUGCACCCGCGAGACCAAUAACAUUCAGUUUAGUAAUUCAUGCCUACACGAAUACUUCGAUUUUAGCAACCGGCGAUUCGUUUCGGCUACCGCGCGCUAAAUCAAUCCUACGUUAUACACCUUGCAAUUAUACCAUAGAACGCGACACACCAGCGAUUACGUGUCGCAGUUCAAUCUAAAAAGAUAAUUUAGAUCUAAAAAGAUAAUUUAAAUUUAAAAAGAUACGAGAACUCGCUCGAAAAAUAAGGCAUACAGAAAACUAUUUCAAAAUUCGCGCCACGGCGUGUAGUACGCUGGCAGAUCUGCGUGGUCGGCAGCGCUAGGUGCGAACUUUUUCCAAAAAUAAUAAACAGCGUUCGUUUGUCCACGUUCGUCCAACCAAAAUUAUCGUCUGUCCAAUCUUCGACAAAAAGUUAUCAGCGAAAUUCGAUAUGGGAACCGGUCGCGAUCCACGGUUACCGAUAUUCUCGUGGCUCGUUCGAGUAAUCGGACACUUCUUGCAGAUAACACUGUCGGUGCAAAACAUCGAGUCUCGCAGGAGCGAGAGAAGGCUCCUGCGACCUAAAAUUAUUCCGGACAUUUCAUUUGUUUCGAUCGUUAUGAGAUUUUAAGCGUAAAAAAGAUACAAACGCGUCAGAAGGUUUUCUACUUUUGCCACUGACAUGGUCGACAACCGAGUGUAACGUUCAUCUAAAUUUGCAAACGCCGUAUCAAUCUCGUUUAUCUCUAGAUAACUUGUAUAAGAAAACAAAGAAUAUUUUUCUUCAGCAUGUUCUUUUUAUUUUUCUUACAAAAGUAUAUUAUACGAUGUUGCCAGUAAGUACUGUCAUAAAUAAAACUGAUGAUAUUUAGCAUCCAUUUAGCUGCUCGAGCAUUUUUAUCGUUUAACUUACAUUGUUUUACACAGAGGAUGUUGCGACGUUGCACGUACCUUUUAACGCUAUUGGUAAUUAUUUACGAAUGAAAAUUGCUCUUAAAUUCUACGCUACGGUGUCCCCAUUGUAGGACGUUGUACGAUAAAAAGAAAAAAACCAACAUAUUUGCUCGUUUCUGCACUUACAGUGUCGUCUAAGAGAAAUCUUCAAUUAUUCGCAUAAGCGCGAUUGAACCACAAAUAUAUAGAGGUCAGAUGCAUCGCCUAUUGAUCUUUAGUUAUACGUAGAUGUUGGAGUACUCGGCUAGCCGGGUAUCAGCAGCUGUAACUCACGGUUGUGCCGUGCGGAAGGUUUCCAGGGCGGUGGAAGCUCCAUCGUCGCCGCCACCACCGCCAUCGCCAUCGCUAUCGCCACCGCCACCGCCACCGCCACCGCCAUCGCCAGCACCAGGGGUGGGUCGAUAGAUGCCGACGUGGAAAGCAGGAGCGCUUUAGCCGUCCCAGCCGCAGCACCACCGCCCCGAUAUAUUUACGCGCUACCCUUCUCUCUCUCUCUCUCUUGCUCUUCCUCUCUCGCAUAUUUUCUCCAACUACGCCGUUUUUCUGCUAUCAUUCUGCCGUUGCAAGUCGUUUCUUUCGUCUUGCCCUCGCGUAUCAAUUUGCCCAGAGUGUUUUAUUU